AAAACAUGUCCUUUAGAGUUAAAUUUGAGGUCUAACCUGCCCACUGAUAUAUUAAAUGGCCGCAGUAUUUUAACUGUGCAAAGGUAGCAUAAUCAUUAGUCUUUUAAUUGAAGGCUUGUAUGAAUGGUUGGACAAGAUAUAUAUUGUUUCAUAUAAAUUUAUAGAAUUUUAUUUUUUAGUUAAAAAGCUGAAAUUUUAUUAAAAGACGAGAAGACCCUAUAGAUCUUUAUAAUUAUGAAAUUUUAUUUAUUAAGAAUAUUUUAUAUUUAAUUUGUAUAAUUAUUUUAUUGGGGUGAUAGUAAGAUUAACUUAACUCUUAUGUAAUUUGUACAUAAAUUAAUGUCUAAUUGAUCCAGUAUUAUUGAUUAAUAAAAUAAGUUACCUUAGGGAUAACAGCGUAAUUUUUUUAGAGAGUUCAUAUCGAUAAAAAAGAUUGCGACCUCGAUGUUGGAUUAAGAGAUAGGUUUGGGCGUAGUCGUUCAAAUUUAAAGUCUGUUCGACUUUUUAAUUCUUACAUGAUCUGA
rnacentral:rRNA from 1 species